AUUGAACGCUGGCGGCAGGCCUAACACAUGCAAGUCGAGCGAGCGGCGGAUGGGUGAGUACUGUCUGGGUAACUGCCUGAUGGAGGGGGAUACCUACUGGAAACGGUAGCUAAUACCGCAUACCAUCAGAUGUGCCCAGAUUGGAUUAGCUAGUAGGUGGGGUAACGGCCCACCAAGGCGACGAUCACUAGCUGGUCUGAGAGGAUGACCAGGCACACUGGAACUGAGACACGGUCCAGACUCCUACGGGAGGCAGCAGUGGGGAAUAUUGCACAAUGGGCGCAAGCCUGAUGCAGCCAUGCCGCGUGUGUGAAGAAGGCCUUCGGGUUGUAAAGCACUUUAAGCGGGGAGGCGUUACCCACAGAAGAAGCACCGGCUAACUCCGUGCCAGCAGCCGCGGUAAUUC
rnacentral:rRNA from 1 species